AACGAACGCUGGCGGCAUGCCUAACACAUGCAAGUCGAACGAGACCUUCGGGUCUAGUGGCGCACGGGUGCGUAACGCGUGGGAAUCUGCCCUUGGGUUCGGAAUAACAGUUAGAAAUGACUGCUAAUACCGGAUGAUGACUUCGGUCCAAAGAUUUAUCGUCCAAGGAUGAGCCCGCGUAAGAUUAGCUUGUUGGUGAGGUAAGAGCUCACCAAGGCGACGAUCUUUAGCUGGUCUGAGAGGAUGAUCAGCCACACUGGGACUGAGACACGGCCCAGACUCCUACGGGAGGCAGCAGUGGGGAAUAUUGGACAAUGGGCGAAAGCCUGAUCCAGCAAUGCCGCGUGAGUGAUGAAGGCCUUAGGGCUGUAAAGCUCUUUUACCCGGGAUGAUAAUGACAGUACCGGGAGAAUAAGCCCCGGCUAACUCCGUGCCAGCCGCCGCGGUAA
rnacentral:rRNA from 1 species